rnacentral:rRNA from 1 species
ACUCCUACGGGAGGCAGCAGUGGGAAUAUUGGACAAUGGGGGAAACCCUGAUCCAGCCAUGCCGCGUGUGUGAAGAAGGCCUUCGGGUUGUAAAGCACUUUUCAGUGGGAGGAAAGGUUGUUGGUUAAUACCUAACAGCUGUGACGUUACCCACAGAAGAAGCACCGGCUAACUCCGUGCCAGCAGCCGCGGUAAUACGGAGGGUGCGAGCGUUAAUCGGAAUUACUGGGCGUAAAGCGUGCGCAGGCGGUUUGUUAAGCGAGAUGUGAAAGCCCCGGGCUCAACCUGGGAAAUUGCAUUUCGAACUGGCAAGCUAGAGUCUUUGUAGAGGGGGUAGAAUUUCAGGUGUAGCGGUGAAAUGCGUAGAGAUCUGAAGGAAUACCGGUGGCGAAGGCGG